GAUGAACGCUAGCGGCAGGCCUAACACAUGCAAGUCGAGGGGCAGCACAGAAACAGCAAUGUUUUGGUGGCGACCGGCGGACGGGUGCGUAACGCGUAUGCAACCUACCUUUAACAGGGGGAUAACGGAGAGAAAUUUCCAGUAAUACCCCAUCACAUCGUUCAAGGCAUCUUGAUUGGUUGAAAACUCCGGUGGUAAAAGAUGGGCAUGCAUUGUAUUAGGUAGUUGGUGAGUUAAUGGCUCACCAAGCCUACGAUACAUAGGGGGACUGAGAGGUUAGCCCCCCACACUGGUACUGAGACACGGACCAGACUCCUACGGGAGGCAGCAGUGAGGAAUAUUGGUCAAUGGGGGCAACCCUGAACCAGCCAUGCCGCGUGCAGGAAGACGGCUCUAUGAGUUGUAAACUGCUUUUAAACAGGGAUAAAGCACAGUAUGUAUACUGUGUUGAAGGUACUGUAAGAAUAAGGAUCGGCUAACUCCGUGCCAGCCGCCGCAGUAA
rnacentral:rRNA from 1 species